rnacentral:rRNA from 1 species
UACGGAGGGUGCAAGCGUUAUCCGGAUUUACUGGGUUUAAAGGGUGUGUAGGCGGGCUAUUAAGUCAGUGGUGAAAUCUCCGGGCUCAACCUGGAAACUGCCAUUGAUACUAUUAGUCUUGAAUUCUGUUGAGGUGGGCGGAAUAAGUCAUGUAGCGGUGAAAUGCAUAGAUAUGACUUAGAACACCAAUUGCGAAGGCAGCUUACUACACAACGAUUGACGCUGAGGCACGAAAGCGUGGGGAUCAAACAGG